rnacentral:pre_miRNA from 1 species
UGAUGGUGAUGAUGAUGAUGAUGAUGUUGUUGUUGAUGAUGAUGAUGAUUAUGAGUAUUAUCCUCAUCAUCAUCAUCAUCAUCAUCUUCAUCCUCA